rnacentral:rRNA from 1 species
AGAGAGAGACAUGCGCGCAUAUCAAUAAGCGGAGGAAAAGAAACUAACUAGGAUUCCCUCAGUAACGGCGAGUGAAGCGGGAAGAGCUCAAAUUUGAAAUCUUCAAGGUUCUACCUUGAUGAAUUGUAGUUUAAAGAAGUGUUUUCUGUGGAGUUUUGGUAAAAGUUCUUUGGAAUAGGACAUCAUAGAGGGUGAGAAUCCCGUAUUUGACCAUUAUUUUCAACUGUGUGAUACACUUUCAAAGAGUCGGAUUGUUUGGGAAUGCAGUCCAAAAUGGGUGGUAAAUUUCAUCUAAAGCUAAAUAUUGGCGAGAGACCGAUAGCGAACAAGUACCGUGAGGGAAAGAUGAAAAGAACUUUGAAAAGAGAGUUAAACAGUACGUGAAAUUGUCAAAAGGGAAGCGUUUGACACCAGUGUUGCUUUUCUCGAAAAUCAAUUAAAAAUGGUAGGAUUUUGUGUUGUAUUGACUUUAUCAGCUUUCUGCACUUUUUUCCUAUCUUUUUUAAUGCACUUUUCGUUUAACAAGUCAACAUCAAUUUCUUUUGUUGUAAAAGAGUCAUUGGAAGGUGGCUUUCUUUUCGGAGAAAGUGUCUAUAGCCUUUGGACUUCUGCAAUCGGAGAGAUUGAGGUCUGCAGCGUAGAUCCUUCGGGGUUAGAUACAUUUGUGCUAAGCUAUAGCCUUUCAUAGACAACUUGUUGACUAUGAUCAGUCAUGUAGCUUACUCGCUUAUGUCUAUUUUACCUACGCUUAGGAUGUUGACAGCAGUAUAGACUG